rnacentral:rRNA from 1 species
ACGGCUCAGUAACACGUGGACAACCUAACCUACAGAGGGGGAUAACCCCGGGAAACUGGGGAUAAUACCCCAUAGACUAUGGAUGCUGGAAUGCUUCGUAGUUGAAAGGUCCGCCGCUGUAGGAUGGGUCUGCGGCCGAUUAGGUUGUUGUUGGGGUAACGGCCCAACAAGCCUGUAAUCGGUACGGGUUGUGGGAGCAAGAGCCCGGAGAUGGAUUCUGAGACACGAAUCCAGGCCCUACGGGGCGCAGCAGGCGCGAAAACUUUGCAAUGCGGGAAACCGUGACAAGGGAACUCUGAGUGCCCGUUAAAUCGGGCUGUCCAUCGGUUUAAAUAACCGGUGAAGAAAGGGCCGGGCAAGACCGGUGCCAGCCGCCGCGGUAAUACCGGCGGCUCGAGUGGUGGCCACUAUUACUGGGCUUAAAGCGUUCGUAGCUGGUUUGUUAAGUCUCUGGGGAAAUCUUCCGGCUUAACCGGAAGGCGUCUCAGGGAUACUGGCAGACUAGGGACCGGGAGAGGUGAGAGGUACUCCAGGGGUAGGAGUGAAAUCCUGUAAUCCUUGGGGGACCACCUGUGGCGAAGGCGUCUCACCAGAACGGCUCCGACAGUGAGGGACGAAAGCUGGGGGAGCAAACCGGAUUAGAUACCCGGGUAGUCCCAGCUGUAAACGAUGCGCGUUAGGUGUAUCGGUGACCACGAGUCACCGAGGUGCCGAAGAGAAAUCGUGAAACGUGCCGCCUGGGAAGUACGGUCGCAAGGCUGAAACUUAAAGGAAUUGGCGGGGGAGCAC